GACAGAGGUGCCGAGCGUUAGGCGGAAUCACUGGGCUUAAAGCGUGUGUAGGCGGAUCUGUAAGUACCUUGUGAAAUCCCACGGCUCAACCGUGGAACUGCUUGGUAUACUGCGGGUCUUGAGCCACCUAGGGGCAAGUGGAACAAACGGUGGAGCGGUAAAAUGCGUAGAUAUCGUUUGGAACGCCAAUGGUGAAAACAACUUGCUGGGGGUGUGCUGACGCUGGAGACACGAAAGCCAGGGGAGCAAACGGG
rnacentral:rRNA from 1 species